rnacentral:pre_miRNA from 1 species
AAUGCAACUUCUGGGGGUCAAAAAGUAUGCUUGACUUUAUAAACAAUUUCCAAAGUGUUUUCAAAAGUGGCUGUAUCAUUUGACAGUCCCACCAGCAUGU